rnacentral:rRNA from 1 species
AAGGAAUAUUGGUCAAUGGACGAAAGUCUGAACCAGCCAUCCCGCGUGCAGGAUGAAGGUCCUAUGGAUUGUAAACUGCUUUUAGCAGAGAAGAAAAGCAUUCAUUUAUGAGUGUCUGACGGUAUCUGCGGAAUAAGCACCGGCUAACUCCGUGCCAGCAGCCGCGGUAAUACGGAGGGUGCAAGCGUUAUCCGGAAUCACUGGGUUUAAAGGGUGCGUAGGCGGAAUAUUAAGUCAGUGGUGAAAGCCUGUCGCUUAACGAUAGAACUGCCAUUGAUACUGAUAUUCUUGAAUUGGGUUGAGGUUAGCGGAAUGUGACAUGUAGCGGUGAAAUGCAUAGAUAUGUCAUGGAACACCAAUUGCGAAGGCAGCUAGCUGGGCCUUGAGUGACGCUGAGGCACGAAAGCGUGGGUAGCGAAC